CCUCGGGCUGCUCCAGUGAGGAAUAUUGCACAAUGGGGGGAACCCUGAUGCAGCAACGCCGCGUGGAGGAUGACGCAUUUCGGUGUGUAAACUCCUUUUAUAUGUCAAGAAAAUGACGGUAGCAUAUGAAUAAGCACCGGCUAACUCCGUGCCAGCAGCCGCGGUAAUACGGAGGGUGCAAGCGUUACUCGGAAUCACUGGGCGUAAAGGACGCGUAGGCGGGUUGGAAAGUCAGGUGUGAAAUCCUACAGCUUAACUGUAGAACUGCACUUGAAACUUCUAAUCUAGAGUAAGGGAGGGGGAGAUGGAAUUAGUGGUGUAGGGGUAAAAUCCGUAGAUAUCACUAGGAAUACCUAAAGCGAAGGCGAUCUCCUGGAACAUUACUGACGCUAAGGCGUGAAAGCGUGGGGAGCAAACAGGAUUAGAUACCCGCGUAGUC
rnacentral:rRNA from 1 species